GUUUAUAUAGCUUAUUUUAGUAGCAUACCAGUGAAGUUGGUAAGGAAGCUUAUGCUUGUUGACA
rnacentral:tRNA from 1 species